rnacentral:rRNA from 1 species
AGAUUGAACGCUGGCGGCAGGCCUAACACAUGCAAGUCGAGCGGUAGAGAGGUGCUUGCACCUCUUGAGAGCGGCGGACGGGUGAGUAAUGCCUAGGAAUCUGCCUAGUGGUGGGGGAUAACGUUACGGAAACGGACGCUAAUACCGCAUACGUCCUACGGGAGAAAGCGGGGGACCUUCGGGCCUCGCGCCAUUAGAUGAGCCUAGGUCGGAUUAGCUAGUUGGUGAGGUAAUGGCUCACCAAGGCGACGAUCCGUAACUGGUCUGAGAGGAUGAUCAGUCACACU